rnacentral:rRNA from 1 species
AGCAGUGGGGAAUUUUGGACAAUGGGCGCAAGCCUGAUCCAGCCAUGCCGCGUGCAGGAUGAAGGCCUUCGGGUUGUAAACUGCUUUUGUACGGAACGAAAAGGUCUCUUUUAAUAAAGGGGGCCCAUGACGGUACCGUAAGAAUAAGCACCGGCUAACUACGUGCCAGCAGCCGCGGUAAUACGUAGGGUGCAAGCGUUAAUCGGAAUUACUGGGCGUAAAGCGUGCGCAGGCGGUAAUGUAAGACAGAUGUGAAAUCCCCGGGCUCAACCUGGGAACUGCAUUUGUGACUGCAUUGCUGGAGUGCGGCAGAGGGGGAUGGAAUUCCGCGUGUAGCAGUGAAAUGCGUAGAUAUGCGGAGGAACACCGAUGGCGAAGCAAUCCCCUGGGCCUGCACUGACGCUCAUG